GAGAGAGAGAGAGAGAGAGAGGCGAUGGGAUGGGAUGGGGACCUACGAUUUCUUAGAGCAUUGGCAAUGGCCUAGCCAUUGCCAUAUGCAAGUCUAAAAUAACCAGUAUUUCUAUAAUAAUCAUCUGCAUUGGCCUAGUCAAACUUUAAAAAUUUGACAUAAAUGUUACAGUAACUGUUAGGUCCUCGCCAACAAUGGAGAGCUACUGUACUGAGUCCAAAGAGUAGUUUAUUAUUUUUCUUCUACCGGCUUUCUCUUCCUUUCCCUCGGUUUAUCGUUUUCCCCCAAAUUACAACAUUUCCUCUGCAGCUUCUCCCGAACGAAGUGCUCCCCCCCCCCCCAUUCGGCCUUCUUCGUCUCGCUGCAUACAUCAUUUGUUUGUUUUCUACUACCUGCCCCUGCGUUUCCCUCGGUUUUUCGUUUGCCCCAAAAUCCUCAAGUCUUUCUUUUCUUCCUCUCCCGAACUCCAUUCUUCUUCAACCCGUCGUCGUGCUGAAGCCUGCAACCCCAAAUCUCUCCAGCGCCUUCUCCGAGUCUUGCCGUCGUCUCCGUGCUCUCCGGCUGUAAGUCUCUCUUCCUCCCUCUUCUCUCCCUCUUCUCCGAUUUUAGUUUUAUCUCCUAUUUUACGUUGCAAGGUCAAAUUAAAAUCUUGAUAUCAGCUUGCUCCACGAAUCAUCCAGGAGGUUCUUCUUCCUCCACGAAUCUGCCACUACCGAUAGCAUUUGUUUAGAGAGAUUUCAUCUACCAUGUUCGUAGCUUGGAUUUUGAUCCUUUUUUUCCCUACUGGCAUUUAGUUUGGAUGGUGAAUAUAGACCUGCUGUUGUGAUCUUGGAGACCCGUUGUUUGUAGGUUAAGGUGCACUACUGCUAUGCCUUUGGUUCAUUUUCACAAUCCGUGAGAUCACAACCAUUUAGUUUGUGGGUUAAGGUGCACUACUGCUAUGUUCUUGGGUAUGGUUUAUAACAAAGCAAUCACACAAGAUGCUAUUGCUAGCAUUUGCUAGUGUUCAGUUCCUUCUCUGUUGCCUUGGGACAUUGCUAGUGCAAGUCUGAAAGCAUUUGGGGUUUUUGCUUGACAUUGUAGAAGAUGUUCUGUUGUUUGGCUCUUUUAUUUUUCUUCAAUGUGUUGGGAAAUUUUUGGUCUGUAUGCGUGGAAAAAGUAUGUUGGGUUGGGAAAGCAAGUUCAUGGCUUUUUGGUGGUUUGAAUGUAUGCGUGGUGUAUGCCUAUUGCAGAGUCCAUAUACUCUUUGUUUGCAAUCCUAUGUUUUUUGUUUUUUUUCUUUGGAUCUUCUGUCUAGUUGGUUUUUCCCCUUUCUUGGUCUAGCACGUUAAUAUUCUCAUCAUGUUAUUGGUUUGUUCAUGAUUUACAUGAUCAUGGGUCGAUUUGCCCAGUGAUGAUUUACAUGAUCAUGGGUCAUCAGAUAAACCAAAUUGAUAUGAGGAAGGUUUGUUUGAUGAUGAUAUGGGGAAGGUUUGUUUGAUGAUGGCAUUAAGCUCUCUCAGUUUCAAGCCUAUGCAUUUUUUUUUUUUUUGAUCCAGUGGAGUAUACUGCAAAUUGGGUCACCAAUUGGGUCAUGAUUUUGAGGAGUAUCAUGAAGUGGCUGUCAAGAUGCUACAUCCAUUAAAGGAGGGCUAUACUCAAAAGUUUAUGGAGAAGUCUGUAUGCAUUAUUUUGUGGACUGUUUUGUGAAUUGUGUUGCUCAAUAUUGUGUUGGCAAUGUGAUUUUUAUGGAAUGUUGAGGUAAUUUGUGGACUGUGUUGCUCAAUAUUGUGUUGGCAAUGUGAUAAUGUAUAGAAUUGUAAAUUUGGACUGCUUUGCUUCAAGAAAUAUAUUUGCCGUGUAUUUGUAAUUGCUUCA